rnacentral:lncRNA from 1 species
AUUUACUUCAGUUCCUUCUCAUGAAGGAAAUUUCCUUGGCUUGGAAAGGCCGAGGGAAAUUUCUUGUUUGGAUCCUUGUCGCAUUUUGUGCUCUAAUUUUGCUUUUCCUAUUCUCUUCUGUGGUUAGCAUACCAGUCCUCAUCAGAAUGAGCGUAUGCCUGCAUCCAGGAUUUGCAUACUACAGAACCAGCUCUGUCAUCUCACCUCUUCUAAGCUGACUCAUGGAGCAAAUGUGCCAGCAGAUGCCCAUGGCCCAGUGACCACGGGCAGUUUUCCUGCUCAGCCACACGCCUUUGAGAAAAGCCUAUCUGGGAAGGAGCUGCCCACCAGGGAGAACCAGGGGCUGGGAGCCUUCACCCCAGGACCGGAGACAUGGCAGGUCUGGACCAGCUGCUACCCAGACCACCUGCGGGUGGGAGAGAACCCCAUAGAUGGUGAGACUGGAGGCUCCCUUGCCUCUCAGCAGGUGAAGGGAGAGAAGAGAGGCACAUCUUCUCUGGGCAGGACUGUCCCAGCCAGAGGCACUCAACCCCCAUCGGCCCCAGCCUUUCUCACAUUUUUGGAAGCAUUGUUUUUAUUGGUAAAUACACCUAACGUACAUAAACUUGCAUAAAAGUGUGUGUCCAGUUGAAUGAAGAAUUAUGACGUGGACACCUGGGUAAUACGCCUUAGGUCAGGGACUAGACUAGAACUUGCACCCUGGAAGCCCCUGUGUGUGUCUCCCUGGCCAAACCCUUCCUCCUCGCAGGGUCACCGUCCUCUUAGCUUUUAGGAUGGUCAUCUCUUUUCUUUCCUUUAUAGUCUGAUCGCUUAUGUAUGUAUUCUUAAACAAUACACUUUAGCUUUGGCUGUUUUUCAGCUUGAUAGAAAUGGAAUCAUAUUGUAUGGAUGUUUUUUUCUUUUUUUUUUUUUUUGAGACAGAAUCUCACUCUGUCUCACAGGCUGGAGUGCAGUGGCGCAAUCUUGGCUCAUUAUAACCUUCACCUCCUGGGUUCAAGCAAUUCUCCUGCCUCAGACUCCCAAGAAGCUGGGAUUACAGAUGCCCGCCACCAUGCCCGGCUAAUUUUUGUAUUUUUAGUAGAGGUGGGGUUUCACCAUGUUGGCCAGGCUGAUCUUGAACUCCUGACCUCAAAUAAUCCACCCACCUCGGCCUCCCAAAGUGUUGGGAUUACAGGCAUGAGCCACCAAGCCCAGCCUGUAUUAUUUUAUCUUGCUUCUUUCCUUCGACAUUGCUUUUUGAGAUGCAUCUACUGAGGUAUGUGUGGCUUAAGUUCACUGAGUUUUCAUUGCGGUAUAGAAUUUUCUUGUGUGAAUCUGCCACAACUACUUAUUCACUUCCCUGUAAAUGGAAAAUUGGCUGUGGAAUGGGUUGUUAGCAGUGGACAAGGCUGUGAUGGAUAUUUCCGAGGGUGAGUCACUGUGCACACGUGCUCAAGUUUCUCCAUAGUCUGCACCUAGAAUUGGAAGUUCUGGAUUUCCAUAUCCAUAAUUUUAAACAUAAAGCAACUCUUUUCCAAAGGGAUAAAUUGGGUUGUCCAAAUCUUCAUUAAUUUGUCUAUUUAUUAUUUUAGUUUUGUUAUUUUUUUGCAUUGUAUAUUUCGAAGCUAUGUUAUUAAUACAUAAAAUUAUAUCUUUUGGUGAAUUAAGCAUAUUCAAAAACACUUUUGGCUUACAUUCAAAAAUGUCCGUGAGAGCACUGUGCGCUGCCAACACUGAGCAACAGCCCCGGGUAGAAAACUCACCAAAUGGUAUCUUUGUAUCAUUAAGAAGUGACCCAAAUGAUCUCUGCUAAUGCCUUUUGCUUUUAAACCUAGGUUGAAUUUGUAACCUUGUUGCCUCAGGAUCUAGGAAAAAGAGACCACAAGACAGCAAAGUUGGUAAGUGUGAGCCAUAGAAGGUUGGAGAGAGGAGCAAGGUUGCUCCCCAGUGAGGGUCUUGGCCCCUCUCCCUUCUCUUCGGAGAUGGCAUGUUAUUAUAAUUCCUCCAGGCUCAGGGAUGAAGAAGUGUCCUCAGUUCUCUCCCUCAGGGGAACUGGAAUGAGGCAGAGGAGGUGGAGCAAAAACUUGAGGACAGCCAUGUGCACCUGCCGGUUCCCGGAAGCCAAGCAACAGAGACCCAUUUGCACACAGCCAUGGCCUCUCCACAUGCUCACCCACCACCCCAGGGGAGUUGGUGGCUGGCGCCUCCCUUCCUGAAUUUUUUUCUUGCAUGUUGAUUUUCCUUUAGCUCUGGGUGCGAGAAUGCUCUCAGGUACUGUAUUACAAUGAUGUGCUUCCUCUCAGCUCACACACAGGGCCAGAUAUUUGUCAAUUUCGUUGUUCUUUCAUUCACGUAUAUAUUAAUCAGUCAGUCAACAAGUGCUAAUUGAGUACAGGCAUUGGGCUGUUCCGAUUCUUCUUUUUAAGUUUCGUGGUCACUGUUUAUGGACACUAGACAACAUUGUCUUUGAAAGACCAGAGAUGCACUCUGAGGUCCUGUGGUGGCCAGGAAGGCUUUGGCCAGUCAGUAGGGGAGGGCGAGCAAGUGGGUUUCCCCACUUCCUUGGACUCUUCUCUUUGCAAGUUGGAACCUCUGAUGUGAACAUUUCUUGCUACAGGGUAACUCUACUCCUGAGAACCAAGAAGGCUGGUGACAGGAAAAUGCCCCCCUGAAGCUGGCUGGGGAUCUCACUUAGGGGCGACAUAAAGUGAGGAGUGUGCUGCCAAAUGUCCCUGAUUCUUUCUCCCCAAACUAACAAGAUCUUAAUGAAGCUUCACUCCGGCAGACAAUACAGGGAUAAGCUAACUGCCAGUUGCUGGGGGGCUUCUAGAGGCCAAGGCUUUAACAGCCACCAUCCAGUCAUGGGAAGGCUAGGAUUGGGAAGUGGAAUUGUAUUGCCAAAGUGGAUGCUUUUGAGAGUUAAAGAGGUGCUAUUAAUACAUAUAAAGGAAUAACAGCUGUAAACCAGAACUGUCUCAGGCAAACUGCGAUAUACGAUCACCCUUUCUAGAAUGGUGUUUUUCAGAAGCAAUCUGCAAUGAAAAAACAAUGUAGUCUGCUUUUCGGAAUGUAACUCAGAACUCCUGCUGACUAACAGGAAUCCUCCCAGACAAAUCUGGCUCCUCCUUCCAUUUCCCCCAGAGCACAGAGCAAGAGCACCGCCCCAGACACUGCUGGGUUGGGGCCACUUUGUAAAGCCACUCUGGACUUCCAGGACGUGCACAAGAUGCGUGCAGUGCUCCCCCGGGGAAGGAGCCACCAGCCUGGAAUCUCAGGGACUCUUUGAAGAUGUGCAGGCAGGACGGAGGAAAUUCUUGCCGCUCGGUGGGGUCAGAACACGGGCCUUUGCUCCACACUGACAUUUCCUUCAAAGGUCAAGAAUGAGUUUGGGCUUUGUAGCUGUUUUGCCAAAAUAUGAUUUAGGGGAAGUUCCAAGCCCGGAGAUUCAGUUUUUAAGUCUGCUGUCUCCUGUUUCCAGGCCACGGUGCAUUCACUGAUAGUAUUUUUAGAAGAGGACCUUUGACAAUGGAAAGGCAGGUAUGACCGCAGGGUGAUUCACUGGCUGUGCCUCUGCACUGUCUGUCUUGGGGGCUGGGCAUGAGGUCCCGGACGUGUGUGGAUCACAGAGGGGCAUGGGCUGGUACCAUGGAGCAGGCAGGAACCCAGAGCACUAUAACUGCGCCGUGAGCUCUUAGGUAGACCAGAGAGGUGAGGCAGGAACCUGCAAUUUGGAUGUACUUGCAGAGCUGGGAUGGCACUGACACAGCCUCCUGUGUCACCGCUUCCAUCUCUGUGCGUGGGUCAGAAUGAGUACCAAAACACACGCAGGAUCAUGACCCACCUCCCACCUGCCCCCUUGCCUUGCCGUCAAGCCUGACUGCCGAGACGCCACGUGUGUAGUUCUAUGUGUGCUUGGGUACUCAAUAGAGAGACAGCUGAGAUCUGCUCAGCUUUCUGCUUCCAACAAAUGUCCCACCUUCUGAGACUUACCAGAUGCAAAACCCAGAAUUCUCCUCCUAGUGAGAGGGAGCUGCCCUGCAGGAAUGGCCAGGCACUGGCUGACCCUCCGGGCUGAGGCGAUGACAACCAGGAAAGAUUUUCCAUGCCUUUUUUGUUCUACAAAAGAAAAAAAAACAGGAAGACUGAAAGAACGGUUUAUAAUUGAUUCUUAAUAAGGAAGGAUAAUUAAACGAAUAAUAGUGCUAACGAUAACAAUUACUAGAUGCAGUAGUGAAUUUCUUAAGUGCAGCAUUUCAGCUAAUCCUCACAAGGGCCUCUGAGGGUGAUAUCAUUGCCUCCAUAUUUGAGGUGGGGAAACAGAGGCAGAGAGAGGCUGAGUUGCUUGCCUGACAUCGCACUGCUGGGAAGUGGCGCCAGUGUGGGAGCUGCCCUGGUUCAUGUGGGACACAGGGACAAUGACAAUUGGCCACACAAGAAUGUCCUUGGGCUCCCACUCCCAAAUCCCACAACUUCCCCUGUGUUUCUCUCUAUCCUUUCCCUUUUCUUUUCUUUUUUUUUUUUUUUUUUUUGAGACGGAGUCUUGCUCUGUCGCCCAGGCUGGAGUGCAGUGGCCAGAUCUCAGCUCACUGCAAGCUCCGCCUCCCGGGUUCACGCCAUUCUCCUGCCUCAGCCUCCCGAGUAGCUGGGACCACAGGCGCCCGCCACCUCGCCCGGCUAGUUUUUUGUAUUUUUAGUAGAGACGGGUUUCACCGU